CCCUUAGAUGUUCUGGGCUGCACACGUGCUACAAUGAUUAUUGCAGUGAGCAUCUCAAAUUCAAAAUCGGUUGCAAGAGUACAUUGGCCUCAUUUGAUGUUACAUCUUUGCCCGAUAAAGCCUACUUUGAAAGUAAAUGGAUAAUCAAUUAGAAGUAAUGACUUCCUUUUUAUGCACAUUUAUGUUCGGCAUUGUAACCCGUUUUGAUUCUUGUCAGAAUUGUGUGUUUACAAUGAAUCCAUCUUGGUGACUUUUACCGUUCGUGCAAUUGUCAAUUCACAGUGGGGACAGACCAUUGUUAAUUGUUGGUCUCUGUCAUAACUAGGAAUGUCUUGUACGGGUCUUUGCUUCAACAAACCAUCCAGAAUACGUCCCUGCCCUUUGUACACAGCGUCCGUCGCUCUUACCGGUGGAUUUCUCUGUGAGUUUAAAGGACUGGUUGUCAUCGGCUAUGGAAAUUUAAACAAACCAGGGGAUCUAAAGGAAAGAGAAGUCGUAACA
rnacentral:rRNA from 1 species